CUACUGUAUUUCUUCUGAUGUGAUCCGCAUUGUUUUUCCACAUAUACACUUUCUUUUUACAGGUCCACUCAAAAGCAUGUGGGAUGAAAAGACAAUUGUCAUCUCACAGCUUCUUUCGACUUCAUUGCUUUUCUCAGGUAGCUAGUUAUCAUAUUCCGUCAUCUCAUCAUGUGUACAUUUGUAUAAUAACAUUUAGUAAAGCAUUAUUUAGAAUGUUGGUUUUACAACAACCGUCACCAAGAAGCACACAAGUAUCACACUAUCUUUGCUGAUGUAAUACAAGAGAAUUUAAGUUUCUCCCUUAUCGAUGGCUGUGUUGUUUGUCUCCUUCCUUAGUCAUUAUUGAGGUUCAGUUCCCUAUUUCACCUAUGGGAGUGACAGCUCUGGACAGUGACAUCACCCUUAGAUGAUCUUUCCCUCCGUAUGAAAACCUCAACCUCAACAACGUGAUUGUCAACUGGCAGCGUGGAGAGUCAGAGGUGGUCCACAGCUAUUACCAUGGGAGACAUCAGCUGGAAAGACAGAGUGUCGUUUACAAGGGACGAACUCAUCUGUUUGAAGACCAGCUCACUGUGGGAAAGGCGUCACUUAGACUGAGUGGUGUGCAGCUGAGUGACCAGUGCCCAUACACCUGUGAUGUGACAGAUGAACAGGGAAGCACCAAGGAAAGCUACAACUUUUAGUGGCAGGGUUUCCCCCAGCCUGAUGUGUGGUGGACGGACUCCAUUGGAGGAGACAUCUUCAAUCAGAGCCACAGCCGUAUCGGCCUGGACAGCAGGGGGCGCUAUGAGGUCCACAGCUCCAUGGAGGUCAGUCCAAACAGUACUCACCAUCAUUGUUGAAAUGAGACUAGAGGUUCUCAAUCAAACCUUCACCCGCUCGCUCACCCUCCACCCACUUCCAGAAUGCUGUGAGGUGCCUCUUGCAACCAGGGGCAGACCGGCUUUGGUGUUAUUAGGGAUAGUUCUCUUAGCAGCAUUAGCAAUGCCACUCAUUUUGUACUUCAGACGCAAGCCUGAAGCACACCGACACCAGAUGGUCCCACAUGACGACACAACAGGACAAGACGAGGCUCAUGAAACAGAAAUUUGA
rnacentral:lncRNA from 13 species